rnacentral:rRNA from 1 species
AUUGAACGCUGGCGGCAGGCCUAACACAUGCAAGUCGAGCGAGCGGCGGACAGGUGAGUAAUAUCUGGGAAACUGACUGAUGGAGGGGGAUAACUAUUGGAAACGGUAGCGAAUACCCCAUACCAUCAGAUGUGCCCAGAGGGGAUGAGCGAGUGGGUGGGGUAACGGCUCACCUAGGCGACGAUCCCUAGCUGGUCUGAGAGGAUGACCAGCCACACUGGAACUGAGACACGGUCCAGACUCCUACGGGAGGCAGCAGUGGGGAAUAUUGCACAAUGGGCGCAAGCCUGAUGCAGCCAUGCCGCGUGUAUGAAGAAGGCCUUCGGGUUGUAAAGCACUGUCAGCGGGGAGGCGUUACUCGCAGAAGAAGCACCGGCUAACUCCGUGCCAGCAGCCGCGGUAAUUC